rnacentral:tRNA from 1 species
CAGGAGGUAGUUUAAUAAGAAUAUUAAUUUUGGAGAUUAAUGGUGAAACAUAGUUUUCUUUCUGA